CCCCCAAACGGAAGCGGAAAUAGAGUCGUCGUCGGCGCAGAAGGGAACAAGAAGAAGACGGCUACUUCCUGUGUGAAGGUGUGUCCCUCCUCUUCUCCUGAAUUUGUUUGGAAACCUUCAGCAAUUAUCCGAGAGAAGGUUUGUCAGGUUUUUAAGCAAUUCCGGCCAUGCCCAUCCCUCCACCAUUGGUGACUGGUGUGUCCCCUAAGGAGGGUCCUCCUGGAACAAGGAUCACAAUCAGAGGUGAAAACCUGGGACAUGAUGCUAAAGACCUUGUUGGUUUAAAGAUUUGUGGUGUCGACUGCCUGUUGUCUGCAGAAUGGAAGACUUCGAGUAAAAUUGUGGCCCGUACCGGCCCUGGUAAAGGAAAGGGAGAAAUCAUCGUAAGCACAAGAACUGGUGGUGUUGGAAGUUGUACCGUUGGCUUCCGUGGCUAUUUCAUUCAAAUAGGCCCACUUCAAGAAUCUGCAAUCUGGAUUGAUGAAUCUCAAACAGUUUUGUCAAAUCUUGGUCGUGGUCGAGCGUCUUCUCCAAUGUUAAUCAAAGACAAUGAAGAUCCUCUCGGUCUUUCGGAUGAAGGAACACAACCAAAAUUUAAAGAAGACGAAUUGCUUGAGAUGUUUCCAGAAGCUUCUGGUAAAAUGUCUUUGGAGAAUUUUUCACCAGCUUGGUAUCUCUUGGAGAACCAUCACUCUACAAGUUUUGAUGACCUGAAAGCUGGUCUUGGUUACAUGAAGCGCAAAGCAGCCCAGAGGUCUGAAGGACCAAUUGCAUUUAUGAAGUCAAAUUUAUCCUCAACUAUCGAUUGCUUGUCAAGUUUAUCAGCUAUGAACAGAAUGUUUGCUACUGAUGAUAUUCGUGGUGACUGUAUGAAUUCAUAUGCUGUUCUCUUGAUGCAGGCUAAGUCAUGUGCUGAUGGCUUGUUCCAAGAAGUUCUCGGUCGCAAGGAUAAAGCAGAUUCCACACGCAAUGCUCUCAGUGUUUUACACAGAUUCAAAUUCCUAUUUUACCUUCCUCUUCAUAUUGAACGCAAUAUACAAAGGGGAGACUACAAUCUAGUCAUUAAUGAUUUUGUUCGAGCAAGGUCACUGUUUGCUGAUACACAGGUGCAAAUAUUUAAGAAAGUCUAUAAAGAAGUUGAGGAGCAAAUAAACCUGUUCCGGAAAAUGUUGCAUAACAAACUGUUGGAACUUCCAAACUCUUUGGAGGAGCAAAAGAAACUAAUACGAUACCUGGUGAGUCUUGAAUCCGGAGGUGAACCUGCCUGGGAGUGUCUCAACAACCAACAGAAUUGGUUGAUGACCAUGUUGUCUCAUUGUCGCAAUGAACAUAUUAUAGAAGGUAAAAAACUGAAAAAAGAAGAUUGUACAAUUGAAAGGAAGCAGACUACACCAAUGUCUCCACACCAGACUGGUUAUGGUCGCAAUAAAUCCAGCAAUCUUACUUCAGGACAGGACCAGUCAACAACCACUCGCUUCAAGACACCACAGAAAGUUUUGUUUAUUGAAGAACUCAAUGAUAUUGUCACGGAGAAUUUUCCUGAUUUUUGGAAACUAGGACAUGCAUAUUUUGCCGGCAGUCUCAUUCAUAAAGAAACGGGAGACAAAUCCUUCAAAAUUGACUCAAACAAACAUCUACAGUUCAAGCAAAUGGUGUCGGAUGUCAUAACAUUCUUUGCCAAUCUGGUCCGUGCUGCGUUCUUGCCUGAGUCUCUGGAAAACCUACCGAGGGAAGAACGGGAAAAAUAUGGGAUCUGGCCAGAAAACAAACAGGAGAUCCCUUUUGCCUGGCUGCCACACUGUGUCCGAUGUGUUCGUUCCUGUGUUUCAUCCCUCACCAAUCUUGAUUUGCCGACCGAUUCUACGGAUCUGAUCCAAGAACUGGCAUUUGAUAUGCGAACCCACUGCAUGUUUACCUUACUGAAACAGGCCAUCACAGAUGUGGAAUGUCUUCACACCAAAGAAACCUGGAAUGUCGAAGCUGACGAUGAAUAUGGUGGCACAACCCAGCUUCCGGCGUUAUUUGAAAAUAUUGUCAAUGAAACAAUUCAACAUUUACAUGAAGUUGUUAUCCAGAACAGAACCGGGGAAUAUGAGAUCUUCAGCCAGCAGACAACCCAGAAAGAAGCCACUAUGCUAUGUACCAAACUGCUCCAAGCAUUCUCUGUCUGUCUCCACAAAUUAGCUUUCCAACAGCCUCAGUCAAUUGGAGACACAAAUAAAUCUGAUUCUUUACAAGAUGAUCUACCACCAUUUGAUAAACGUCUAAUUAUUAUGUUGAGUAAUUGCAAUCACGUUUGUAAUCGCGUGAUUCCAAGACUUGUGGAGAAUUUAGAAAAACAUGGCUACGUUGAGAUGGACAAAGGAUUACAGAUAGCUCAAGCAAAAUAUCUGGAACUGGAUAAUAAAUUAUUCGAAGCUUACAUAGAAGAGAAGUCCAAUCCUAUAGUUGGAGCUAUGGAACAAAAUAUGUAUCGUGGCAGCUUUGACUGGAAUACCUGCACCAAACCUGUUGCUGUGAGGAGUUACUUGAAGGAAGUCUUAAUGGGAAUGAUUGAAGUUCAUGCUGAAGUUUACGCAGUUUUUCCAUCUUUUGUCCCACGAGUGAUGUGCAAGGUUGUUGAAGCUGUUGCUGAAGAACUCUCUCGUCUGAUGCUGUGUAGUACUGGUUUCAAUUCCAACGGAGCUCUUCAGGCUCGUCUUGAACUGAUUGCUCUGCAAGAUGCCGUCUCCGCUUACCGAAAUGAUGCUGCCAUAAAACAUUUCCAAGAAGCUUUGGCCAUUCUCACACCAAUCGGCUCAAGUAAAAAAACCGAAGAAAUACUUCUGACCGACUUCAAAUCAACGAUGCGAUUCCACCUUAUGUGCUUCUAUGCCGACAGUGUAGUAGAAACUCCUGCCUAACAGAUCCAUCGUGGAAAUUUCCUCACCACACAGGGGUGCUAAUGGUUGUGCUUAUAUCAUUUUUUUAAAAACAUUAUUAAUAUUAUCAUUAUUUUGCUCGUAUUCCAUGUACCAGUCACAUAUUGGGGUCACUAUCAUCGAUUUAUACAUCCCACCGCCUCCCCAGCAAUGUAUGGUCCAGGGCUGAAGUAAGAAAUCUUUAUUAUUAUUAUUAUUAAGCUUAAGGUGGUGUGCUGGCAGAAUCGUUACUGUGCCGAGCAAAACGCUCCGUGGAAUUUCAUUUGACUUUACGUUUUGAGUUCAGAUUCUGCCGAGGCUGGUUUUUGCCUUUCAGCCUUAAUGAAAUAUGUACCAGUCAUAUACUGGGGGAUCGAUGUAAUCAAAUUACCUCCUACCCCUAAAUUACAGCCUUAUGCUAAAAUUUGAAACCAUUAUUAUUACUAAUUAAUAUUUCAAGGUUGAAGUUACUCUUCACGAAGACAAAGAAAGAAAGAAAGAAGAAGAGUGAGACCGUUAUUGGUAAUAAACAGAGAUUGACUCUCUCAUAUUUUGAACUUGUAAAAGACACACGGAGUCUUGAAAUAUUCUUCAUUCAUUUUCAUUUUAAUAAACUGAGUCAAUCUCUAUUUAUUACCAAUAACAGUCGUGCUCUUCUUCUUCUUAUUAUUAUUAUUAUUACUAUUAUUAUUACUAAGGCAGCGAGCUGGCAGAAUUGUUAGCAUGCUGGGUGAAAUGCUUAGUGGUAUUUCACCUGUCUUUAUGUUCUGAGUUCAAAUUCCGCCAAAGUUGACCUUGCUUUUCAUCCUUUCGGGCUCAAUAAAUUAAGUUCCAGUGAAACACUGGGGUCAGUGUAAACAACUAGUCCCUUUCCCCCCCAAAUUACAGGCCUUGUACCUAUAAUAAAGGAUUAUUAUUAUCAUUAUUAUUAAGGCAGUGAGAGCUGGCAGAGUCGUUAGCACACCAGGCAAAAUGCUUAGCAACAUUCUGUCUGUCUUUCCAUUCUGAGCCCAAAUUCUACUGAGAUAGACUUUGCCUUUCAUCAUUUUGGAGUUGAUGAAAUUAGUACCAGUCAAGUACUGGAGGGUCAUUGUAAUCAACUUCACUCUUCCCUUAAAAAUUGCUGGCCCUGUGCCGAACUUUGAAGCCAUUGUUAUUAUCAAGCUAGUAAUACGUUCAUUUGAUUAGCAGGAAUGUUAUUUCGAGGUUUGGCGACAACAAGUCUUAGAAUUCCUUCUGAAUACAGAAUGGUACUUUUCCUGCAUGUCAGCAAUGUGAUCCUUAAUUCCAAUUUCUAUCAGUCUCAAUUGCCACAGGAAUCAUUGUCUUAGUCUUCCACAGUCUUUACAGCUCUCUUGCUCAAUCCUGAUAUAUUUCUCAGGGCUCCCUGCCCCAAAUUUAUGUGGUAUCCACUGUUAUCAUAUGGUAUUGCAAAGUCUACGAUCUUAAACCAUUUCUGGCCCUCUCUCUGCAAUAAUAUGGUCAGUCUUCAUGGAGAAACCUCAUAAACUUCUGUGAUGCUUAUUCUCCCUCAUAGCUUCCGGUUCCUCAUUAUUUCAAAACCGUUUCACUCAACUAACAACCCAAUGGACUCUUUAACCUACGCAGUCUUGCCUGUGCUUUCUGAAUAAAAAAAUAUUUAUUAUAAUUAUGAUUAUUAUUAUUAUUAUUUUAGGUGUGGCUGUGUGGUAAGAAG
rnacentral:misc_RNA from 1 species